UACGGAGGGAGCUAGCGUUGUUCGGAAUUACUGGGCGUAAAGCGCACGUAGGCGGCUUUGUAAGUUAGAGGUGAAAGCCCGGGGCUCAACUCCGGAACUGCCUUUAAGACUGCAUCGCUUGAAUCCAGGAGAGGUGAGUGGAAUUCCGAGUGUAGAGGUGAAAUUCGUAGAUAUCGGGAGGAACACCAGCGGCGAAGGCGGCCAUCUGGACAGAUACUGACGCUGAGGUGCGAAAGCCAGGGGAGCAAACGGG
rnacentral:rRNA from 1 species